GAAUGUCAUACAUCCGAGGUCUAAAUUCGAGAUUAUUACAUUUUGACUUCUUUUUUUUUCGAGACAUCAGUGCACACAUGUUUGAAUUUGUUGGCAAAUGGAGAAGUGAGAGUUGUUUAGAAGGGUUUAGAGGAGAAUGGGGUAACUGUAUGGACAAGUCAUUCCUCAUAUAAUCCUCAGAGGAAAUUUGAUAUGAGAAUGUCAAGGUGAACACGAGAUACACAUAGAGCGCCCCAGCUUGAUGUUGUGGAAAAUGAGCUGGGGUUUGGAUAAAUGAAAGUUAGGGUGAGAAAAUUUCAAAUGAGAUUUCCAAAGCUGCCCCGGUCUUGAGGUUAUGGAUUGAUGAAAAACUUGUGUGAGACUCACAAAGCUACCCAAUUUUUGUUUGCUUCUUUUUUAUUGUGGUACGGGUUGACGAAAAAACUCAGGUGAGACUCACAAAGUUGCCCCAGUUUUUCUUCAACAAGGGGUUCAGUUUGGAAGAGGUAGUGGACAUGUACAGGAUCGGCUAAAAGGGUGUCCCCCAAUUGGUUUGAUUUUUCUUUUUGCAUGCUUCUGGCUAGUUGGCAGGAAGAUCCCCUCUUCUUGAGACAUUACUUUUUUCUCUCUUUUUUAUUUCUUUUUUCCUUUUUACGACACUGUGAAAGUCACCUUAUCGCAAAGUUAAGCUUUAUGAAAAUUUGAGCAAUCAUUAUUCAAUCUGUGUGGGCUUUAUUAGGCUUGUAACGUGGCUAAGGGCUACAAGGUAAUGAAAGAAAAGGGUAAAAAGGCCCAAAUGAAUGUUUGGUGGUUAUAUUUUUUUUGAAACAAGGGUUAUCAUCUAGGCAUUGCAUCAACUAUUUGACUUUUUGAGCACUUUCGCUUUUUCUCGAACUUUGAUUUUCAUUCUCUUUGCUCAUCAUCACUUUGUGAUUUUUUAUUGUUCUUUUUGUUUUUCUUUGUUUUUUAUUCACUCUUCUUGAUGUAUUCUCUUCGUUUGAUCAUUGAGUGCUCUUCAUUUGCAACAUGAGUUGACUCCUACCUAAUGACAACCCUUGCUUGGGAUGAUUUUGAAAAAGAAAUUAUUUUUGGCUCAAAUAGGGUGACAACGGAUAUAUUUUUGCUUUUAGGUGAAAACAAGAAGGCCACACAUCAUUUUGAACUCUGAUUGCUUUAUUUUCAAAAUAUUAAUUUUGCGACUCGAUGACCUCAACAUGAGUCGUUUUUGUUGUUUUUUUUUUUUCUUUUUCCUUUCUAGACUGCCCUUUCGGGUUUUCAAUCUAGUGGACUUAUUCUUUUCUUUUCAUUUUAUUUUUCCUUUUCAAUUUUGAAAUUUGUCCUAUGGGAUUCAGGGAUCAUCCUACUAGCGCAAGCGAAAAAACCUUUGGUCAGGCCAAUCUGUCCAGUGAAAAGGUUUUCUUUGUUAUUGAGGCAACAGCGAUGUUUGUUGAGGGGAAAACCUUUAUCUGGGAAAAGUAAUGGGUGGAGAUUUUCAAGCAGCAUGUGCACAAACGUCUUGAGAGAAGCGUCAAAAUUGUUAUUUUUGAUUUAACAUUUGACCUCGGAAAAGUCUGACACUACAACUUUUGNNN
rnacentral:lncRNA from 1 species